UUUUUCUUUUUUUCCAGAAUUACUUUCACAAUGAGAAUUAGCCUCAGGGUAACACUUUCACUUGUAAUGGAAAAAUUAUUAAGUCAUCCUCUGUGUUUAGCGACAAAGGUUUCUGACAGUCACGUAUGGUUCCAACAUUCUGGUAUUUAUUUUAUUUCUGUUUUUUUUGUUUCUUGUGCUUAUAUAUGUCUACAUUUUUUUCAGCUGCCUACUGAAUCACUCUUCUAUCGUGCUGUUCUUCAGGAUAUUAUUAAAGAUUGUUAUGGCAUCACCAAAUGUGAUCGACAUGUUGGUAAAAUUUAUUCCAAAUGUUCUUCUUUUCUGGAUUAUGUCAGACGAUCUCUAAAGAAGCUUGGAUUAGAUGAGUCCAAGCUGCCAGAAAAAAUUAUAAUGAACUACUACGAGAAGUAUAAGCCUCGAAUGAAUGAGCUGGAAGCUUUUAAUAUGUUGAAAGUUGUUCUGGCUCCCUGCAUAGAGACUUUGAUUCUUCUGGAUCGACUUUGUUACCUGAAAGAGCAGGAAGAUAUUGCAUGGUCUGCUCUUGUGAAGUUGUUUGAUCCCGUGAAAUCUCCCAGAUGUUAUGCUGUUAUUGCUCUGAAGAAGCAGCAGUGAUUUCCAAUGAAGCAAAUUAUUAGAUGUAUUUCUCUAUGAGACCUGUUGCUGAGAUUGCUUUUCUAAACAUAUAUGUCCUGUUAUACAAAAAUUUUUAAAUGACUGUUAUAUAUUUUAAAUAAUAAAAUAAUGGCUAACAACA
rnacentral:sRNA from 1 species